AUGACAAUGGUUGAUUUUACAAGCUCAUAUUGCAAAAUUAUUACAGGUUUUUAGAAGCAAAUGUAUCCACAACUGUAACAGAUUUUCAUUUUUGGAUAUUGGCUUGUCAGAGCAAGACGCUGGAUCUCCAGCCAGGCACCAGAUGUUUUUAUUGAGGGGAAAAAAAGAGCAUUAAGAGCUUUUAAAUCUUAUAUUAUUACUUUGAUCAUAUAAGAA
rnacentral:lncRNA from 1 species